rnacentral:rRNA from 1 species
UACGUAGGCAGCGAGCGUUGUUCGGAGUUACUGGGCGUAAAGCGUGCGUAGGCGGUGGCCCAAGUCUGGUGUGAAAUCUCCCGGCUUAACUGGGAGGGUGCGCCGGAAACUGGGUUGCUGGAGUACCGGAGAGGCAAGCGGAAUUCCUGGUGUAGCGGUGAAAUGCGUAGAUAUCAGGAGGAACACCCGUGGUGUAGACGGCUUGCUGGACGGUCACUGACGUUGAGGCACGAAAGCGUGGGGAGCAAACAGG